UGAUGCAAUUGAAGAGAGAAGUGUUUUCCUCCAGAGUAACAGGUUUUGGUUGAGCUUUGGUCUAGUUUUGGCGAUGCAGUUGUGGAGAUAAACUUUUCUGUUCCAGAGUUGCAUGUUUUAGUCUAGUUUUGCUCUGUGUUUGCUAAACUGAAGCAGAACUCAUGACAUCUCAACGCCUGGAGCCUGUAAGGUAGGUCCUUCUGCUGCACACCAAGGACAGAUCAUCGACGAGGGACACUGCAGGUUAGUUUGCGUUUAAUUUGCUUUUGGCUUCUGCUGGUUUGCUUUUGGUUUGACAACAACCGCACCAACAUACACCACAAAAACAAACCCCCAUCAUCAAUGAUCAACCAGUGCAGCUGCUGUCUGCCCUGGUAGCUGGUUUCGGUCUAGUUUUUGUCUGUUUUAGUGAUGCAAUUGUGGAGAGAAACUGUUCUACUCUGGAGAAGCAGGUUUUGGUCUAGUUUUGGCGAUGCAAUUGUGGAAAGGAACUGUGCUCUUCUGGGUUUGCUGCUUCUGGUCUAGUUUUGGUCAUGCAAUUGUAAAGAGAAUCUUUCCUCUUCCGCUGAUAUGUUUUAGUCUAGUUUUGCUCUGUUUUUGCUAUACUGAAGCAGAACUCAUAACAUCCCAACGCCUGGAGCCUGUAAGGUAGGUUCUUCUGCUGCACACCAAGGACAGACCAUCGACGAGGGACACUGCAGGUUAGUUUGCGUUUAAUUUGCUUUUGGCUUCUGCUGGUUUGCUUUUGGUUUGACAACAACCGCACCAACAUACAACACAAAAACA